UCAGUGUACCUACUGAUCGAAAAGCUCAAGAGAAAAAUAUCACUCAAAGUAACAAUUGUGCUGGAAGAGGAACCGGGAGAUUUGAGAGCUGCUGGAUGCUAACACUGCUUCAUAUUUGCAGCAUAUUUGAAUAAAGACCCACCGUUAAAAGGAGAUUUGGAGAAGGGAGCAUUAGGAAACAAGUAAUUCUGAACUGUAACGGUGUCCACUGAGCAAAACUUCUCAAACGCUGCUGUUGAUAACAGUUUGUGGGGCCAUAUUUCCAAGGACACAUCUAGGAAGAUGACAUGAAAGAUGCAUAGACAAUGAACGAGCAAGCCCAAGAUUUGGGAGUAGUAGAACUGUGGAGACUGUGCCUACAAGUUUGGUGAUGACUAGAACUAACUACAUUUCAUUUUACUUUACAGUUAAAUAUUAAUGAACUUUAGAAGAGUAUUCAGACCUCAAGGUAUUCUUGAACAUUCUUUGAUGCUGCAAAGUGAUGUAUUUUACAUAAUAUUCUUUGAAACACAUUAAAUAUGCAAAGAGCAGCAUUCCUUAUAGCAGAGGUAGCAUUAUCAUAUGAGAAAAUUUUUCUCUGUACCUUUCUUGGUUAGUAAAAUAUAAAAUUUCUCCCUAAAACCAGAGUAGGAACUCUAACUCAAUUUACACAGUACUGAAAACAUUACAAAACAUAAAUCAGUUUAGUUUUUAAGUUCCUGUAUGAUAUUUGCAGAGCAGCCAAAUUCCUCUUCUCAUCUGGACGCUUUCCAAAAUUCUGCCACUGUUCAUGGAAAUCUAAAUAACUUGGGAGAAAAAACAGGUUUUCUGCUGAGGCUCAGAUUACUCUGUCACCCUUCCUGCGUGGCAGACAGACCUCGGCUAAACAUGGAGAAUGGGGACAAGAAAAUUACUUCAUUACAUUGUGUCCUUCUCAAUUACAAGCAUCUAGGAGCUGGGACCUCCUGCCAGCCAUGGCCCAGUCGAGCACAAAUUUAUGGGUUAUGAAAACAACAGCCGCAUCUCCUUAAGCAGGAGGAAUCCGUAAUAGAAAGAUUUCAGAUUUCUGUUCCAAGCAGUCUAUUUUUAACAUAUCCAUGUGUCUGGGUUGAAAUGUUCAGUACUCAGUUCUUAUGUUAGCUUAUUAGAGUUGCAAUUAAUUUUCAAAUUUGGAGAACUAAAGAACCGAUCACAACCACGCUUCACCUUUCUCUAUAUGAUUACCCAGGACACUAGGACAUUUUAUUAUCAUUUUUCACUGAUCCCCACUCAACUGUGGUUCCAGCCUCUCAAAAUGUCUUCACUGCCCUUGGCAGCUGACAUCUCCGAAUUACCAUUUAUGCCAUUCAGUUGUCAUCUGCCUUGAUAUAAUGAUUGGAUUUAAACAAAAAAGAUUAGAUUCAUUCAUUGUUAAGCCCUCAGCUUGGCUAA